rnacentral:rRNA from 1 species
CGGCGGACGGGUGAGUAACGCGUGGGUAACCUGCCUCAUACAGGGGGAUAACAGUUGGAAGCGGCUGCUAAUACCGCAUAAGCGCACAGUACCGCAUGGUACGGUGUGAAAAACUCCGGUGGUAUGAGAUGGACCCGCGUCUGAUUAGGUAGUUGGUGGGGUAACGGCCUACCAAGCCGACGAUCAGUAGCCGACCUGAGAGGGUGACCGGCCACAUUGGGACUGAGACACGGCCCAA